rnacentral:hammerhead_ribozyme from 1 species
GCAUUGCUGAGGAGUGCAACAAUAGGACGAAAUGGUCAUCCAGUGC